UUAAAAUAUUUAAUGAAAUUAAAUGAAAAGUUUAUUGUGGGACUUAAAAUCCUCUUGAAUAAUUAAUUAUGAAUAUGAUGAUAAGCUAAGCAUACAUAUAAACACAUGUAAAGAGAAAUCACCCUAUUUUGGAAAUUAAGCUAAAAAGAGAUAAUUAAAAAUUUUCAGUGCCAAGUUAAGGACAAGGGGUAAUCAAAGAGACCGGGCUAAUAACCCACAUAUGAGACCCCGAUUCCGACUUCCCCAUGGAGCAUGGGGUUUCAUUAGAGAUCCCAGGCCAUUUUUGCGUCAUUCUGGUAUUGUUCUAUUGAUGUUUGAGAAAAUUGGCUGCGAAAUUGUUUUUAGACUUUUUUGCUUUUUAAAGUUUUGAAAAGAAAAGCAUCUGAAAGUUUAACAGUUUGGUGUUUUCGUCAGCUAUUGGUCUCUUCAUUUCAUUUGGUUUUAUCAAUUUUUUAAAAUUAGUUUUUGCUAAAAUUUUGAGUUUUACAAGAGAGAGCUGUCAAAUGAAGAAUAAGGUAAAAAUUGUCACUUGUCGAAAGAUGCUGAAAUUGGCCUUUCGCCUCUUCUAGAAGCUGAACGACCUCCAAAUGGACAUAAUGGUCUAUAGUGCUUUGAGAAUAUCCUAACCAACGCGACCAGUCCUUCAUCCUCCUACUGGCCGUUUUCCUACUCUACCUUUAAUGUCUGAGGGACAAAAAGGGCAAAUCAGCAAAAGAGCUGUACAGCAAGGUAAAAGGAGAACAUGCACAGGCCAUAACAGUGGUGACAGAAAAUUUGACUGUGGAGUUUGUAUGUGUUUGUACAAUUAGUUUGUAAAUAAUUCAAAUUUAUUGUGUAUAUUUUUUAUUAA